UACGUAGGUGGCAAGCGUUGUCCGGAAUUAUUGGGCGUAAAGAGCUCGUAGGCGGUCUGUCGCGUCGGCUGUGAAAUCCCGAGGCUCAACCUCGGGUCUGCAGUCGAUACGGGCAAACUGGAGUGUUGCAGGGGAGACUGGAAUUCCUGGUGUAGCGGUGAAAUGCGCAGAUAUCAGGAGGAACACCGGUGGCGAAGGCGGGUCUCUGGGCAACAACUGACGCUGAGGAGCGAAAGCGUGGGUAGCAAACAGG
rnacentral:rRNA from 1 species